UACGUAGGGGGCAAGCGUUGUCCGGAAUUACUGGGCGUAAAGCGCACGUAGGCGGACUAUUAAGUCAGGGGUGAAAUCCCGGGGCUCAACCCCGGAACUGCCUUUGAUACUGGUAGUCUCGAGUCCGGAAGAGGUGAGUGGAAUUCCGAGUGUAGAGGUGAAAUUCGUAGAUAUUCGGAGGAACACCAGUGGCGAAGGCGGCUCACUGGUCCGGUACUGACGCUGAGGCGCGAAAGCGUGGGGAGCAAACAGG
rnacentral:rRNA from 1 species